rnacentral:misc_RNA from 1 species
AACGCAUCUUGCACCCUUUGGCAUUCCAAAGGGUAUGCCUGUUUGAGUGUCUUCAACAACAUCAGCUCCCUCGCCCUUUACGGCUCUGGAAGCUGGACUUGAGCGCCGCCGCGACUUCGGCCCGGCUCGCUUGAAAAGCGUUAAGCCAAGUCUUUGGAGGUCUGACUCUGUCGAGGUUGGUGUGGUAGAACUCCCUGCGGGUUGUAGAUCGCCUCCAUCGACGGGUCGUCGACUCCAAGAUCUGGGCUCGUCGAACGUUCUUGCCGAACGUCGUUUGAAUCCAGACCUCAAAUCAGGUAGGACUACCCGCUGAACUUAA